rnacentral:tRNA from 1 species
AGCAGCAUGGCUUAGUGGAAAGAGCCCGGGCUUGGGAGUCACAGGUUGUGGGUUCUAAUCCCUCUUCUGCCA